UUGAGGCACACUUACACACCAAAGACUUUUCUCCAAAAUAUUAUUAUUAAGAUAUUCACUCGAAAUACGAACACUAAGAACCUAGAGAGUGGAUUGUCGUGGACCUAAGUAUUCACUCGUCCUCAUACUCAUUAUCUUCAUAAUCCUGAGCCGGAUAUUCAUAAUCUCUAUAAAACCAUGGAUAGUACUCGUCUUCUUUGAAUUAAAACCACAACACUCUCUCCUCUUCAUAAUCCUUAUCUCCUCACUUAUCAUAGAAGUCAGAAUGAAUCCGUCUUCAGUGGAAAAACCUACGCAGGGGGCGUACACAAUUCCGCCGCCAAUUGGUUAUCCGACCAGAGAUGUGGCUGGUGGUGAUCCCGUGGUAGCCGCAGUGGAGACCAAGUCCAAAGGCGAUGAUGAAUGUUCUUUUAAAAAAAUUUGUAGCACGGUCUGCUGUUGUUACCAUAUCUUUCACUUCUGCAGCUAGUGAUGAGAUCGGUGUUAACGGUUUCAUGCAAAUUCUUGGUGUUAUAAAUAUAUAUAUAUAUAUAUAUUUGAUGAUAUUGUGUUACUUAAUUUCAGCUUUAUGUGAAAUGUACUCUACGGAUGGUUCUCGUUGUUGUGUUUUACAUAAAGUGAUCAUAUAUAUAAAGUCAAUUUGGUUUGUGAAGAUUAUAUUUAACAGAUACACAUGUCCUCUGGUUCUUCUAACAAUGUAAAUACAACAACUACGUUGAACUACGUUAAAAACUGUAACAUAAAAUGCAUUAGAGAAUCUUGUACAAACAUGUGUUUUAUUACAAUUCCUUUCAAAAAAUUAUGAGUAUAGAUUUAAACAAAAUAAUCAACAAGUUCAAGAAAACUUUGAAUUGUUUAACUAACUUCAUGCAUCUUAAAAUCCAAUACAAAAUCUUAGAACCUAUCCGUUGAAUAAUUUGUGUUUUGCUUUACUUAGAAGGUAUAAAAAUUCACAUAUGUAAUAAAUACAACUAUGGUUGAUGGCAUAAUAGUCAGACGCAAAACUCUUCUGCUUAUACAAGGUAAAAAGUUAGGUAGGUCAUCUCCAAUGAGAUACCAAAACAUCAAAAAUUUCAUUUCCAGUGAGACAUAAAAAUGAUAUCAUCUUAUAUUAAAGUUGGUGUAAUGUAAAUAGUGUUAAACCAAAUUUAAUGUCACACUCUUCAUUAUACCAAAUAUUAAAUUAAUGUAUCUUAUUACGUUUAUUUAAAUAUAGAUAUAUCGUUUUAUUAAUUAGUUUUAACUUAUAGUUAAAAUGAAUAUCUCAUAAUAUUUUAUAUUUGUAUUCUCAUCUAUUCAUUUCUAUUUUUAAUUAAUAAUAUAAUUAAAAUGACUAUAAUCAUAAUAACAUUAAAUGGUAACAACAUAAACAUGCUUUUAAUUUUAAAUGUAAAAAAAUUAGUUUCGACCAAUAUUUUAAACAAAAUAAACAAAUAAUUAUACAAUAUAACUAAAAGAAAAAAAAACGACUUAUAUAUAUAUAUAUAUAUAUAUAAACAGGAAGAUAAAGUUACCAAAUUUUAAUAUUAAAUAUAAAACAAAAUGUAAUAAAUAUAAUUUGUCAAUUAUAAAUAAUUAAUGUAUUAAAUUACCAAAACUAAAAAAUAUUAAUAUAACGAAUUGUUUUGGCAUAAAAUUUGGUGUGGUGAUUAAAGAUUAAAAAUAAAAUUUAACAUCAAAAUUUUGGUAUAGUUUUAACACCAAAUUUGAUGUUAUGGUUUGAAAUGAUGUAAACCUAGAACUCAAGAAAAAAAUUACCAUUGACCACUUCGUUAUAUAAUUUAGUUAUUGUUUUAGCUGUAGUGGAAAACUUCACAGGGGCGGAACACAGUCCAAAGGCGAUGAUGGUGUACUUGGAGAAAGUUUGAUAUAUAUAUAUAAUUUUUUUUGGAACAUAAUGGUUUCUUUAAAAACUUAACAUUCUUAUAGAAUAGGACAACAAAAUUAUUUAUCAUCUUUGAUAAUAAGUGCAUAAAAUCCUAGAUAUUAUUGGAGAUGUGAACCAAUUGUGGGAUUUAUGGAUUAAGGAUUGUUAUUUCGGUUCAAUUCAAAUAAUGAGUGAUCAUAUUUGGAUUGGAUCUUUGGUAUUUGAAUUGAUAGACAUGGGGAUUUUAUGCAUAAAACCAAUGGGAAAAUUGCCAAAAGAGAACAAAAAAAUCAGGUUGUUGUCCCUUUGGUAUAAAACCAAUUUUGUCCAUUUUUUUUCUUUUUUCUCCUUUUUACCUUUUGUAUUUCUGAAAACUAAUGAAAUAAAUAAUUUUUUGAAUCAAAAAAUUUAUUAAAAAUAUAAACAAUUAAUAAAACAUCCAUAUACACAAGCUGGUAAUUUUCUUUUGUUCAAAAACUUGGUAAAUAAGAUUUUUAAAAUACGUUCUACUAAAAGUAGAAUGCGUCUUCUACGAAAAAUGGUAUAGUAGAAAACGAUUUCUAAAAUAAACACGUUCAUCUACUUCUUUUAGAACGCCCAUUUUACUAUUUACUAAAUUUCUAAAAAAGAGAAAUGUGCAUUCUACUAAUCGUAAAUGUAUCUAUUUUCCUUCCGAAUGCAUCUUCUACUAAGUAUUCUAAAUUUCGGGGAAUGUGUUUUCUACAAUGUACUCUUAUGCUACUCAAAGUAGAAAGUGUAUUCAGAAUUUUUAUCAUUCUUAUAAAUUUUUAGAAGUCACAUUCUGCGGAUAAGAAUACCUGAUUUUUUUUGCAAAAAUUAGUGAAAUUUCAGUUAAGGAAAUAUUCUAAAAAUCUCCUAGAAAUAUUCAAACUUCCUAAAACAUGUUAUGGUCGAUUUUACUUGAAAAAUUAAAUAAAAAAACGAUUCUCCCUUCUCUUCUUCAUCAAUCUAUGGUUUUUCCAUAGUUUUUCUUUUGAUUCUUCUCACAAACUCUUGUUCUCUAAGAUGCAUAUCUAUACCUCUCUUUUUUUCGAUUGCCUUUCAACUGUUUUUUUUUUCUUUUCUCCAUUAACUUUUUUUUUUAAAUUCAAAUUAACUUUUAAAUUGUGUUUAAUUAGAUUAAAUAUAUGGUUAGUUUUGGGAUUAUGAGAAAUAUUAUACUAUUGAGACAACUUUAUGUUGGUUUUAUACCAAGGGAACAACAACCUUAUUUUUUUGUUCUCUUUUAGCAAUUUUCCCAAAACCAAUUAGGAUAUCAUUUAAUUCUAUGAUGGGCUGAAUUAAAUGACAAUGGUUCAGGACCGGUUAAGUUACAGUUUACUGGAUUGGUUGUGGUCCCUAGCUCACGUAUAUAUGAAGGUAUAUAUAUUCGGUUUAAUAUAUACCAUAAGGUGGAGAAGUAUAUAAGAUAGAGAGAUGAGAACAUAAAGUGUAAGGUUGAAAAGAAGGCUUUUGUCAUUUUGCUAAACAAAAACAUAAGGAUUCUCUCUCACUCUCAUCAGACAUACUUCCUCUAUUCUCUACUCAAGCUCCCACUACUUAUUAGAGGAUAAUUCGGAUACGAAGAGCUAGAAGACCAUCUACCUAUCAUCUUCUUCUAAGAUGAGUUCAAGUAAGUGUUUCAAGCGCUCUUAAUUUUCAGUGCUAACCAUAUACACUAGUAGAUCAAGGGGCCUAAGGAUAUAUGUGGAGACGAUACCACCUCCAUUAAGUAUACGUAAAUCCAUCAAGUGGUAUCAGAGCCUACUACUAUGUGUAUAUGGUCGCAUGUGUUCAUGAUGUGAUAUUUAGGUUAUUUAUAAAAUUUAUGAAUUUAAAGUUUGAGAUUUUAUUAAUUAUGCAUAAGAAUCAUGAUUAAAGUUAAAGUCUUGCUUUAUCAUGAUUUAUAAGGUUAUUAUGCAUAAUUUUUGGAAUUAAAAUCUCAUGAAAGCUUGAUUUUAUGUUAAAAUGGUGUUUUAGCCAAAGGUUGAAGAUAAUGGCAUUUUGGUAAUUAUUUAAAAAUGAAUUUAAUAAAUAAAUAAUUAUUUGUGAGUGUUUGACAUGUGUCAUUUGGCGGAUGCGUAUGUUGUGCAUGUGUCAUAAGGUUAGACACUUGUUAUAAAAUCUCAUUUGGUGUAGACAUUUGUGGAAAUGUGUCAUUCGGCUAAGAUAAUAAUCCAUUUAAGAGCAUGCAAAUAAUUAUAUUUUUUUAUCCCUCUUUUGUUUUGUUUGGCCUAGUUUUUUUAAAUAAGUCAUUAUUUUUAUAUUUAUUAAAGUGAACUUCAUGAUUUAAUUAAACGUGCAUAUCUAUACCAAUAAAGUAGACUUUUUUCUUUCCUUGGAAGAAAAAAUGACACGUAUUGUUUUUUCAUUGGCUAUAAUUUACGAUUGGGUUUUGUUUGAUAAAUUGGAUUUUGUGUUUUAGUUUGAGGUCCAUCUCAAAACAUUAAAUUUUCAGGCCCGGAAUCGCCUCUUCCUCUUGGUCGUUUCUCCUUCUUACGGCCGCCGCAUUUUGCAGAUGAAAGUCGAUGAUAACGCCAUGGACGUUACAACGUUUGGCUUUGCUCUUCUUUACUUUGGUUAAAUCGUGAUUUCCCCACUUUUCAGCAUUCAAUCCGACUCCUUCUCUUCCCUGAGUUACUCAGUAGAGUUUCGGGUAUAAAUACCUCCUCAUCCAGACAUGAGCAUCUCAGCUUCGACGAGAACCAGAAGAUCAUUCUGUUCAAUUUCCAGUUAUUACAAUGGCGAAUCCCCAAGUCCUUCUUGCCGAUCUGAACGCAGGACGGUGCUCGAACGUCGCGGAGGUUCGUUUACCCCGAUACUGGGAGGCGAAAAAUGUAAGGAAAGGUAGUGAACUGAUGAGUGUUGACAUGCUCUUUGUCGAUGAGAAUAACUGCACAGAUGCGUCAGAUUUCUAGCUGUGGAUUAAGACCUUUCCACCGUUAGAUUGAACUCAUCUUCUAACACAAAAUAGAUCGUUGAGUUAGCUUUCCAAUGCCACUGGUGUGAGGUCAAUCAGCAUCCUGUAGCAGACGUUAUGCUCGUUUUACUGAAGAGUGGUCAGUCUGCCUCGCGAGAAGAAGCUGUCGAGAAGAGGAACGUAUGUCGAUCGAUGCAGAACUAUUGACAUCGAUCGAUAUGGAUGCUAGAACGUGGGCCAAGCAUAUUUCAAGACCGUUUGAAGCCCAGAAGCCACACCAAGCUUGCUACCAGCUACAACCCUGCUGAAGAUAUAUGAUCUUAUAUAUUAAAACAGAAUGCACAACAUUGAUUCAUCUGUGAUUUUUUUUAAAAAAAUGGACCUAAUGGACCUAUUAUAGAAAGUUAUGUUACA